rnacentral:rRNA from 1 species
AGCGAACGCUGGCGGCAGGCCUAACACAUGCAAGUCGAACGAACCCUUCGGGGUUAGUGGCGGACGGGUGAGUAACACGUGGGAACGUGCCUUUAGGUUCGGAAUAACUCAGGGAAACUUGUGCUAAUACCGAAUGUGCCCUUCGGGGGAAAGAUUUAUCGCCUUUAGGGCUGCCCGCGUCUGAUUAGCUAGUUGGUGAGGUAAUGGCUCACCAAGGCUAGGAUCAGUAGCUGGUCUGAGAGGAUGACCAACCACAUUGGGACUGAGACACGGCCCAAACUCCUACGAGAGGCAGCAGUGGGGAAUCUUGCGCAAUGGGCGAGAGCCUGACGCAGCAAUGCCGCGUGGAAGAUGAAGGUCUUAGGAUUGUAAAAUCCUUUCACCGGUGAAGAUAAUGACUGUAGCCGGAGAAGAAGCCCCGGCUAACUUCGUGCCAGCCGCCGCCGUAAGAC